AUGAAUUGACGGGGGCCCGCACAAGCGGUGGAGCAUGUGGUUUAAUUCGAUGCAACGCGAAGAACCUUACCUACUCUUGACAUCCAGAGAAGCCAGCGGAGACGCAGGUGUGCCUUCGGGAACUCUGAGACAGGUGCUGCAUGGCUGUCGUCAGCUCGUGUUGUGAAAUGUUGGGUUAAGUCCCGCAACGAGCGCAACCC
rnacentral:rRNA from 1 species